UCGCACGUUGGGUCAUUGUUUUUGAGUACGCUUAUACGUUGCCUUAAGGUGCGUUCCUUUAUUUACUGCGAGUACUGACGCAAUGACGUCAUGAAAGUGUACUGCCAGAGUGUUCCAUUUUAACUUUGAGAACUGUCGAAGUGCUGCAGCGUUAUAAAUCGGAACGCAUAACAGCACGCUUUGUACAGUAAGUCCACUAUAAUAGGUUAUUUCAAAGACAUUCGUAUAUUCGUAUUCACAACAAUCUUGUGCUUCAAUUGAUACAAUAUUGCUGUAUGCAGUCUUGAUAUUUUAGUAAUAUAAACACGAAAGAUACGUUCGCGUUCGACAAAUCCUGAGAGGUUCCAAAGAAAUGACACAAUCACAAUCGUUUUGUUGGAAAACACGACGCUGAUCUCCUUGAGAGUAAUUAUUAUUAUUUUCAUAGAGAAUGGAUGAAAUAUCUAAUAAAAAUAUAAUUGCAUUUAUUGCAACUAUGUUAAUGGAAAUAAUAAAUGAGGAUGAAUCAAGUGACAGUGAUAGCGAUGUAGAUAUUAUUCAAAACUUGUUAAUACAACCUCGGGUACCUACAAUAAAAAUAAAAAAUUAUGUAGAAAAUAUUGUGUCUUUAUACUCAGAGGUGGAGUUUAAAAUACAUUUUCGAGUUGUUAACUUCUCAUCUAAAUAAGUAUUCAAAUACAUUUGGACGUCAACCUAUUUCUCCCGAAAAACAAUUAUUAAUGUCAAUUUGGAUGAUGGCAUCACCUAAUUCAUAUAGAUGGGGGAUUUCAUAUGAAGUGAUCAAGCUAAAAAAAAUUUUUUCUCCAAUUAUGUUUAAACUCGGGGCAUUUGUAGCCCUAUUAGGUGGUAAUAUUUGGUAGAAAAAUUUUUCCAUUUGCUCCAAUAUUUGAGGAGGGGGAGGGGGUGAAAGUUUUGGGGGCCCGUUUCAUUAAACAAUUUUUUUCAGAUAAUUAAAUGAAUAAAAAAAAUUUAUGAAUAUCAGUUUCGAUAUGUUUUUUUAUGCCCUUUCGAUUGGUAAAAUGCAUUUAAAAAAAAAAAAUUUUGAUUCAAAAAACUCAAAGUUAAAAAUAAAAAUGACUUUUUUUGGAAGAAAGACACGAUUUUUUUUAUUUUUUAUUUUUUUAAAUGAAAGCUGAGAUUUUUUCCUAUAAGAACAUAUAGUUCCGAAAAUGGGCCUAGAAUGUUAAAUUCAUGAAAAUUAGAGUUUAUCUGCUGACUCGAGCGCCGCGGACAAGAGCGCGAGGCUGCAGUUGACUGUCUAGUAUAAGGAGGCGAACGUUAACGCUCUCUGCAUUUAACAGGGUUGAGACUGUCAUUUUGUGAAUGCCUGCAUUACGCUAACGCAUAAAUUUGGAAAAAAUUUUGAAACUUGAAACCUAAAUAAAUAAAAAUUUAUAAUUUUUAAAACGUAAAAUCCUUGAGAAAGAUAAAUAGUGUACUUGAGCUGAAAAAGUGAAUUUAUAAUUAUAUCUGAAGUCGUUAAAUACUUACAUCCCUUUAAGUAAUGUCCUUCAGUUUUCGCUGUUUUCUUUGUCUUUUUUUACU